AGCUUUACACAUUGGCAGUAUCAUAGCCAAUGAGAUUUAUCCAAGGCGUGAUUAUUGCUAAUUGAAGCAUCUAUUCUGUUACUUACUGCUUCCAUUGUGUUUUUUAAUGUAUCAUGAUUGUCUUUCAGAAUUUUUUUUCUAACA